rnacentral:rRNA from 1 species
AUUGAACGCUGGCGGCAGGCCUAACACAUGCAAGUCGAACGAGUGGCGGACGGGUGAGUCAUGUCUGGGAAACUGCCUGAUGGAGGGGGCUAACUACUGGAAACGGUGGCUAAUACCGCAUACCCUCGGAUGUGCCCAUAUGGGAUUAGCUAGUAGGGGGGGUAAAGGCUCACCUAGGCGACGAUCACUAGCUGGUCUGAGAGGAUGACCAGCCACACUGGAACUGAGACACGGUCCAGACUCCUACGGGAGGCAGCAGUGGGGAAUAGUGCACAAUGGGCGCAAGCCUGAUGCAGCCAUGCCGCGUGUAUGAAGAAGGCCUUCGGGUUGUAAAGGACUUUCAGCGGGGAGGCGUUACCCGCAGAAGAAGCACCGGCUAACUCCGUGCCAGCAGCCGCGGUAAUAC